GUUCGGUUAAAUUGGCGUUAUUUCUGUUUUUAAUCCCAAGACACCAUUACAGAUUAGUUUCUAUUAUAGUUCUGCAAACUGAUGAACAAAUGAAGACAGCCAAUUGUUAAAUGCGCCGAGAUGCCACAACGCACUAAGUAUUGGCCAUAAAAUUUCUUUGAAGCAAGUGGCAGCAAGCAUUGCCGGCGCUUCCAAAAACCCACGUCAACUAACUACAAGCAUACACUAAAGUACAAAUCGCAAGAACAUAAAAGAAAUACUUGCAGCUAAACAAAAUGACAAACGCCUUGGGAGCGCCA
rnacentral:lncRNA from 1 species